UCGGCAUUAGUAUAUCGGUCAGUACACGCGCCUGUCAUUAGAUGGCCGCGCGAAAGCGGGGUUCGAUUCCCCGAUGCCGAG